AACGCUAGCUACAGGCUUAACACAUGCAAGUCGAGGGGCAGCAUGAACUUAGCUUGCUAAGUUUGAUGGCGACCGGCGCACGGGUGAGUAACGCGUAUCCAACCUUCCGUACACUCAGGGAUAGCCUUUCGAAAGAAGGAUUAAUACCUGAUGGUAUGAUGAGAUUGCAUGGUAACAUCAUUAAAGAUUUAUCGGUGUACGAUGGGGAUGCGUUCCAUUAGAUAGUAGGCGGGGUAACGGCCCACCUAGUCGACGAUGGAUAGGGGUUCUGAGAGGAAGGUCCCCCACAUUGGAACUGAGACACGGUCCAAACUCCUACGGGAGGCAGCAGUGAGGAAUAUUGGUCAAUGGGCGAGAGCCUGAACCAGCCAAGUAGCGUGAAGGACGACUGCCCUAUGGGUUGUAAACUUCUUUUAUAAGGGAAUAAAGUGGUCCACGUGUGGAUUUUUGUAUGUACCUUAUGAAUAAGCAUCGGCUAACUCCGUGCCAGCAGCCGCGGUAAUACGGAGGAUGCGAGCGUUAUCCGGAUUUAUUGGGUUUAAAGGGAGCGUAGACGGGUCGUUAAGUCAGCUGUGAAAGUUUGGGGCUCAACCUUGAAAUUGCAGUUGAUACUGGCGUCCUUGAGUACGGUUGAGGCAGGCGGAAUUCGUGGUGUAGCGGUGAAAUGCUUAGAUAUCACGAAGAACUCCGAUUG
rnacentral:rRNA from 1 species